rnacentral:rRNA from 1 species
UACGUAGGGUGCAAGCGUUGUCCGGAAUUAUUGGGCGUAAAGAGCUCGUAGGCGGUUUGUCGCGUCUGCUGUGAAAACCCGAGGCUCAACCUCGGGCCUGCAGUGGGUACGGGCAGACUAGAGUGCGGUAGGGGAGACUGGAAUUCCUGGUGUAGCGGUGAAAUGCGCAGAUAUCAGGAGGAACACCGGUGGCGAAGGCGGGUCUCUGGGCCGUAACUGACGCUGAGGAGCGAAAGCCAGGGGAGCAAACGGG